UUUUAAAUGCCUAACCUUUUAUUUUUGUCUCAAAUUUAUCCGGCGACCGGUUUUUUCUUACGCCGGUGCCGAAAAUGCCACUGUGGCAGCCGAAAUCGACGAGCUGGCAGCCGGAAAUUGAUACAUAAUGUAUUAUUGACACGUGGAAUUAAAAAAAGUAAAAAAAUAAAUAAAAAAUUCCAUGUCAUCAUCUUCCUCCACCCCCAAACUCCCAAACCCUAGUUUUCCCUCCCCCUACUCGCCGCCG
rnacentral:lncRNA from 1 species